UACGUAGGGUGCGAGCGUUAAUCGGAAUUACUGGGCGUAAAGCGUGCGCAGGCGGGCUUUUAAGCCAGACGUGAAAUCCCCGGGCUUAACCUGGGAAUGGCGUUUGGGACUGGAAGUCUGGAGUGCGGCAGAGGAGACUGGAAUUCCUGGUGUAGCAGUGAAAUGCGUAGAGAUCGGGAGGAACAUCUGUGGCGAAGGCGACUGCCUGGACCAGCACUGACACUGAGGCACGAAAGCGUGGGGAGCAAACAGG
rnacentral:rRNA from 1 species